GUGGGGAAUCUUGCGCAAUGGGCGAAAGCCUGACGCAGCCAUGCCGCGUGAAUGAUGAAGGUCUUAGGAUUGUAAAAUUCUUUCACCGGGGACGAUAAUGACGGUACCCGGAGAAGAAGCUCCGGCUAACUUCGUGCCAGCAGCCGCGGUAAUACGAAGGGGGCUAGCGUUGCUCGGAAUUACUGGGCGUAAAGGGCGCGUAGGCGGACAGCUUAGUCAGAGGUGAAAGCCCAGGGCUCAACCUUGGAAUUGCCUUUGAUACUGGCUGUCUUGAGUUUGGGAGAGGUGAGUGGAACUCCGAGUGUAGAGGUGAAAUUCGUAGAUAUUCGGAAGAACACCAGUGGCGAAGGCGACUCACUGGCCCAAUACUGACGCUGAGGCGCGAAAGCGUGGGGAGCAAACAGGAUUAGAUACCCCGUAGUCC
rnacentral:rRNA from 1 species